GAUGAAGAACGCAGUGAAAUGCGAUAAUUAAUGUGAAUUGCAGAAUUUAGUGAAUCAUCGAGUCUUUGAACGCACAUUGCGCCCCCUGGUAUUCCGGGGGGCAUGCCUGUCCGAGCGUCAUUGCUGCCCUCAAGCACGGCUUGUGUGUUGGGCUUCCGUCCCUGGCAACGGGGACGGGCCCAAAAGGCAGUGGCGGCACCAUGUCUGGUCCUCGAGCGUAUGGGGCUUUGUCACCCGCUCCCGUAGGUCCAGCUGGCAGCUAGCCUCGCAACCAAUCUUUUUAACCAGGUUGACCUCGGAUCAGGUAGGGAUACCCGCUGAACUUAAGCAUAUCAAUAAGCGGAGGA
rnacentral:misc_RNA from 1 species